CCUACGGGAGGCAGCAGAGGGGAAUAUUGGGCAAUGGGCGCAAGCCUGACCCAGCAACGCCGCGUGAAGGAAGAAGGCGUGCGGGUGGGAAACUCCUGUUCGCAGGGACGAAGCAAGCGACGGUACCUGAGGAAUAAGCUACGGCUAACUACGUGCCAGCAGCCGCGGCACUACGUAGGUGGCAAGCGUUAUCCUGAUUUACUGGGGGUAAAGGGCGUGUAGGCGGGAAAGCAAGUCAGAUGUGAAAACCAUGGGCUCAUCCGGUGGCCUGCAUUUGAAACUGUUUUGCUUGAGUACUGGAGAGGCAGGCGGAAUUCCUAGUGUAGCGGUGACAUGCGUAGAUAUUAGGCGGAACACCAGUGGCGAAGGCGGUCUGCUGGACCGCAACUGCCGCUGAGGCGCGAAAGCGUGGGGAGCAAACAGGAUUCGAUACCCGAGUAGUC
rnacentral:rRNA from 1 species